rnacentral:rRNA from 1 species
AGUGAACGCUGGCGGUAGGCCUAACACAUGCAAGUCGAACGGCAGCACAGUAAGAGCUUGCUCUUACGGGUGGCGAGUGGCGGACGGGUGAGGAAUACAUCGGCAUCUACUUUUUCGUGGGGGAUAACGUAGGGAAACUUACGCUAAUACCGCAUACGACCUACGGGUGAAAGCAGGGGAUCUUCGGACCUUGCGCGAUUGAAUGAGCCGAUGUCGGAUUAGCUAGUUGGCGGGGUAAAGGCGCACCAAGGCGACGAUCCGUAGCUGGUCUGAGAGGAUGAUCAGCCACACGGGAGCUGAGACACGGUCCAGACUCCUACGGGAGGCAGCAGUGGGGAAUAUUGGACAAUGGGGGCAAGCCUGAUCCAGCCAUACCGCGUGGGUGAAGAAGGCCUUCGGGUUGUAAAGCCCUUUUGUUGGGAGAGAAAAGCAGCAGGUUAAGACCCCGCUGUUCUGACGGUACCCAAAGAAUAAGCACCGGCUAACUUCGUG